AACGAACGCUGGCGGAAUGCUUUACACAUGCAAGUCGAGCGGCAGCGCGGGGGCAACCCUGGCGGCGAGCGGCGAACGGGUGAGUAAUACAUCGGAACGUGUCCUUAAGUGGGGGAUAGCUCGGCGAAAGCCGGAUUAAUACCGCAUAAGCUCUGAGGAGGAAAGCGGGGGCUCCGUAAGGACCUCGCGCUGUUGGAGCGGCCGAUGUCGGAUUAGCUAGUUGGUGGGGUAAAGGCCCACCAAGGCGACGAUCCGUAGCUGGUCUGAGAGGAUGAUCAGCCACACUGGGACUGAGACACGGCCCAGACUCCUACGGGAGGCAGCAGUGGGGAAUCUUGGACAAUGGGCGCAAGCCUGAUCCAGCCAUGCCGCGUGGGUGAAGAAGGCCU
rnacentral:rRNA from 1 species